rnacentral:miRNA from 1 species
UGUGCCUUGCAACUUCCGAGCC